rnacentral:lncRNA from 1 species
GGACCUCUCUAUAGACAUGAGAUGUUGUAGGGUAAAGGUGGGGUUGGGCACCAAUAACUGUUAGGUGAGGACCCAAUGACGACUUUAUUUCUACGGUUAUACGGUGGGUUUGACUUAACUGAGAAAUGGGACCAAUAACUGUUAGGUGAGGUUUUCAUGGCUUAGAGACCAAGUUACACUGCAACAUGCUUGAGAAGCAUUGUACAAGAGUUGUACACUCAUCCAUCUAUGUGUCACCAAUAACUGUUAGGUGAGGUGCCAUGUAGAUUGGUGAGACCGCAGUACCUACUAGAAACCCUAGUCGCGUAGGAU